GGAAGAAGAGAAGUUGGAGAGGAGGAGAUGAGGCCAUGAAAGAAGGGAUGAGCUUUUGGAAGAGAAGAAAGAUGAAGAAGAAUGAAAGGAGUUACCCAUUUGUAGGCCAAUAAGAAGGGAGAUGGCUUUUUCACUGGAGGAAACUUGUAGUGCUAGCUAGAAGUAAAAGCAUCUUUGAUUGUUUUCUUUUCAAUGGAUUUUAUUGGAUUAGCCUGCUAUUAUUAUUAUCUGUUUGCUG
rnacentral:misc_RNA from 1 species